rnacentral:lncRNA from 1 species
AUAAAUUAAGCAUCAAGAUUGGAGGUUCAUUCUCAAGUCAAAAACAAACAUAAACAUCAAAAUAAACACCUAAAUGAGAACUAAAUGAGAAAGGGUUCAAAUCAAGAAAAUUUCAACAUAAGAAAGUCCCUAAAUAUCAUAUUAAAACCAGGGAUGCAAUCAUUUCACACUGAUCAUGCAUCAAGAACAACUUACAACUUGGAUCAAGCAAAAGGGGCAAAAGGAAAACCCUGAUUUUGAACUUUAAGAAAUAA